AUGGCUCGCCCAUCCCCUCCCAGGUUUCGCUCUGAAUCCACCUCCAACCGCUGUCCAUGGUCUCGUGCAAGCUCACUCUCGCCCAGCGGUCCGUCGCAGGUUUCAGACUCGCUUGCGUCCCCGCCCGUGUCUGCAGUAGAUCUGGCCUCGACGGUGCGAAUCCUGGCACGUGGAGAGUCAUCCCAUGCCAUGCCACGCAUGCCUGUGAUACUCCAGAUCUUGGCGCAUCACCCCGGAUUGAGUAGCAGUGCCAAAAAUCCAUCGUGGUCAUGCACUCCGCCCUGGUCAACAUUUCCUCUUCGAGCGAGGAGGAGGGAUGGACGGAGAAAGGACAGCAGAGAUCCUCUUCGUUGCAUCAUUUGCGUGCUGCCAGGGCAUUUCGGCAAAGAGUGCCCUCAAAAUCCACGAAACAUCAAUACAAGAGAGGCUGCCUGUGCAAGGUCAGGAUAUGUCCGGCGCCGACCAGGGCGCCGGUUCAAGAUAGGGUUCACCUCCCCGGCAGUUUCCCCGGGGCGAGCCCGUACUAGGCUAUGCAUGCAUUUGUGCAUUCAGGGCAGGAAUGCCAAGAUCGGAUCCGACCCUUUGAGACAUGGAAAUAUAACAAAAGGCAUGUGUCCCCUGCAACCAGCAACUAAUAAGAGAUCAAGAGAAUCUCUUGUCACAUUGUCGGUGUCACCUAAGUUCUACAAACAGUUCGUCCUUAUCGAGGGUUGCAGAGGUUGCGAGGACCGGACAAACAAUCCGACAAGCGCUCCAUUGUCCAGCAAAUAUCAAAUCACCAGGUCUGUAGUCAAUGGAAACAUCUGGAUUCAAGACCGAGAUCCGCAGCCCAGUCCCAAAAUGAGCAUUUCAUUUCCUGCGAAAAAGUGUCGAAACAUCCGUGCCACCGCAUGUAAACUCGAUGCCCCGCCGAGGGCAUUUUCGGUAUUUCACAUCAUUGGAAAACUGCCCAAUAGCGACGGGGGCGAGACCGUGAGAGCGAGGCGGUCUCCUCUCUUCCCGUUCCCCUCCACCUGCCCACUCUCCUCCCUUCCCCGCCCUUCCCACGAAAACCCUAGCCGCCACUACUGCCCUGGAGCCGCCGUCGCUGCUCUGCCCUCCCUCUCUCCGACUCAAGCCGCCGCCCUCCUCUACGCCUCCAACCUCCUCCCCAUUGGAUUGCGACCGGCCCUCCCUUAUGCAUCCACGCACAUCCAGCUCUCCACCACCACGCGCCAGAGGGAGAGGGAGAGGAAGGUGGAGAGCAGUGAGGGUCCUCACUUAGUUCGGUCGCUUGCCCACUCGAUCUGGAUGUCACGGUUGCCGUGGUUUGCUCGUCGCCGUCGGCCAGGUGUCUUUCCUCUCGCUCGCUUUUGCUGGACCUUGGAAGCCGCCGCUCCUCAGCAAUCAACAAGAGUUACAGCCGCUGCCACCACUUCUUGGCAGCGAAGCAGGCCAGCGAUGAGGAGGCUCACCACCAACACGUCAUCGACGGCCAAUCACCACUUCUUGGCAGCGAAGCAGGCUAGCCAGAAGAUAUGGCAUGGCAGCAAGGGAGAAAGGGGAGAAACACAAAUAGCUAAUUCAGAAGGAAGAGAUGAUGUUGUGAACUACAUUCUCUAUAUGUCCCUUGCGGCCUUGAUGGACCUAAUCAGGGCAAAAUACAGCACAUUCCUCUGCUUUUUUCGAUAUGGUCAGCUAGGGAUGCCCUCACUGAUCAGCAUGAGAGACGGCAGAGUCACCGUAUGGAGGAAAAUUUAUGUGUUGGAUGAAAGUAGCUUCAACCAUAUAUUGAAGUGGUACACACACAUAAGGAAAGCACCGUUGUCUUCUUCACAUGUUACACCAAAGGCUGGUGGUACAAUGACGGAGACCAAGGUCAAAGAUGAGUGGUACUAGGACCAACUUCUACAGGAAAUGGAAGAAUUGAGGACCUUCAUUCAUUCAUAGAAAAAUCAGAAGAGAGAAGAAGCAUCAAAAUAUCAUGCAAAG
rnacentral:rRNA from 1 species